UUGGCCAUGAUGGUCCUGUACUGUAAGAAAGAGAGCUUACCGAAGAUCGAGAAGAGCAUGCGAGCACACCGGCAGCAAAGAAACGGUUUCUACAACUUGGUCACUUGGCUCAUAAUAUAUAUACGGGUUGAAAUAAGCGAGUCGUGAAACCACGCCGUGAUCGAGCCCCUUGGCCUCGACAUUUUGUGUAGUGGUAGUGAAAGGCUCGGUGUGGUGUUGAUGCGGGUCAAAUGUGGUAGGCUAGAGCUGAAUGGUCAUGUAAAUUAUGCUGGUAGACGUCCCUGUCCACAGGGGACAAAAACAUGUACUCUGAAUUCGUAUGAUCAGUUUUGAGCUGUCUGCCUGUUGUACCGAUCGGCUUUUUGUGGCAAUGUCGUUGGGAAGAAGGAAGCGAAGUGAUUUGUAUUUGUUUGAAAAAUAAAAAAUCUAUAAAAGAAUUGUCCGGAGAUCCUGAAAUCUUAACACACGGUGCGGCUGCGUGGUACUGCCAGCACUUGCCCAAGCCCAACGACCUUCAGUUUUGUGAAUUGGUGAUCCCGGUUGAAUCCCUGGUCGUACAUACGCUGUAUGUGUCCGUGGUGUAUGACAUUAUCCCACUAGAAACGAGCAUUUGUAAAUCCCUUUCAUAAUUGUUGAAGAGGUAGCUUAUAUGGUUCUCUACUUCUGUUCUGUUUGAGUCAGGUCAAAAUGUUAGGAAUCUUGUGCGCGUCUGUGUGUGGGGUGUGGGGGCCAUAAUACAUAAUACUGCCAGGAGGCAGAAUUAGGAUCUGCUGUGUCUGCUGUGGCUAUCAAGUGCCCAUAUGACCAAAAUGCAAGCAGAGAUGUUAGUUGGGACUUGGGACCGACCAUCCUAUCAUAUCAUAGUAGUCGUAUUCUCUGUUCUGCCAUAUAUCAACAACGUACGUACUCCUAUGUAUGUAUGGAUGCAUGUACGCAGGCGACAGGCCAAGGAAGGAAAUCCAAGUGCCUGCAACAUUGGCAGCAGUGUCAACUCACAUGCGCAACAGGAAUGCAUGCAGAGGCAGGCAGGACGAAGACACCGCUAGAUACCGCUCAGCUCUCGCAUGUGAUGCUGGAGCAGAGCAUAUGCAGCUUUACACUGCCCAGCGGUGGCCGCUCUUCGUUGCAUCUUUGCCCUUGCGAGAUGUGAUUUCCUCUUUUUUUUUUUUAGCAUUUGCGAGAUGUGAUCUCUGUAAUGUGCGUAGUAUCUUAUGGUUUGAUGGCUAGAAGAAACGCGUGGAAGUGGAACCACCAAACGGUAACAACAAAUUUCGUUCUUUUAUCAAGGACAAGGAGGACAAAGCUAAGAACUACUCCCUCCGUUCCUAAAUAUUUGUCUUUUUAGAGAUUUCAAAUGGAUUACCACAUACAGAUGUAUGCAGACAUAUUUUAAAGUGUAGAUUCACUCAUUUUGUUCUGUAUGUAGUCACUUGUUGAAAUCUCUAGAAAGACAAAUAUUUAGAAACGGAGGGAGUAGGGCAUAUACGUACAUGGCCACGCAUGCAUGCAUGUGCGCCCGUCCUACGUGCUCCGGGUAGAGCCAAAGAGACAAAGAUUCCUGUGGCCCUACGCUAUGUGGGGUAGUAUGUGCGUUGUACGUGUGCCCUUUCUCUCGGUAACUCGUGACUCACUUGUCCCUUUCACCGCAGACCCCCGUCCCGGGCGACACGGAUCAUCUCUCUGCACACAUUUUAUGCACCAACCAAAGGCCUUGGUAAUCUAGUAGAGGAUUGGCCAACUCCAUCGUGUGACCCCAAACGAACGUCCAUUUUGUCCGGAUUCUAUCCGUUUGGGUAGGUCAAUGGGGUCGUGUCCGGUCCUGUCCUGGGAUACGGUGGCCGUGCGCCCAGCGCGCGGUCGCGGCUGCAUUCGUUUGCCCCAUCCUAUUCGCCAUGGCCUAAAAUGCCCAUAUUUUCAUAUCAAAACAAGUUUGCACGUCAAAAUAUUAAUUGUUUGAAAAUAAAAAUAGUUUCACAACCCAAUCGAAAUUGUCUCUAAUAAAAUAGUUUUACAACCAAAUCGAAAUUGUCUUGAAUGAACAUAAAAUGAACCAAUACAUUUAUUGGUUGCCAAUGUGAUCCCACACGUGCUCAACCAAGUCAUUUUGAAGAUCCAAAUGAUUGUGUCAAUCACGCAGCUCACGAUGAAACUGGACAAACUGUUCAAACGUGGUCGGUUCUUGGUGCAGGGGCUCAACAUUUUCACCUUGAUAAUCAAAUCCUUGGUCGAAGAUACUGUCAUCACGCUCGUCCUCGACGAUCAUGUUGUGCAUGAUCACACAAUCAGUCAUUACCUCCCGAAGCUUCCUUUCAUCACAUGAUAGUGCAGGGUUUUGAACGAUACCCCAUCGGGAUUGAAGCACACCAAAAGCACGUUCCACAUCCUUUCUAGCACUCUCUUGCAUUUGGGCAAAUCUCUUUCUCUUCUCACCUUCGGGGUUCGAGAUUGUCUUCACAAAAGUUGACCACUGAGGAUAGUAUCCCUUGUUGUACAGGUGGCCGUCGAUCUCAAAGUUGACAGGUGGGGAGUGGCCUUCUGCAAGCCUUGUGAAGACUGGAGAACGCUGCAGCACGUUGAUAUCAUUGUGAGAACCUGCCAUGCCAAAGAAAGAAUGUCAUAUCCAAAGAUCCUGCGAAGUCACCGCUUCUAAUAUGACAGUGCACGCUUUGACAUGCCCCUUGUACUGGCCCUGCCAAGCAAAUGGACAGUUCUUCCACUCCUAGUGCAUACAAUCUAUGCUGCCAAGCAUGCCUGGAAAGCCUCUAGCUGCGUUGGUCGCCAACAUUCUCUUUGUAUCAGCGGCAGUUGGCUGCCUCAAGUACUCAGGGCCAAACACCUCGAUCACAGCCUGGCAGAACUUGUACAUUGACAUCAGACAUGUCGUCUCGCUCAUACGCACAUACUCAUCCACCAGAUCGCCUGGAAUUCCAUAUGCAAGCAUGCAGAUGGCCGCGGUGCAUUUAUGGUAAGAGGAGAAUCCAAGCUUGCCAAGGGCAUCCGUCUUGCACUCGAAGUAUGGGUCAUGAGCAACCACUCUCUCUCGGAUACGAUUGAACACAUGCCUUGCCAUACGAAAAUGGCGACGAAAUUUAUCCUGCUUGAAGAGCGGGGUGUUCGCAAAGUAAUCGACAUAGAGUAGGGUGUGGCCUCUCUCCCUGUUACGGUUCAGGUUGGGAGCACGGCCAGGAAGUGACCCCUGUACCGAGGAAGCUGCUGUUGAAUGUGGUCGUGAACCACUAGUGCAGCCACCACAAGAUCUUCAUCAUCCGACGACGAAUCGUCUGAUGAACAAAUGAAGUGGUGGAAGAAAAACUCAUCACCACUGUCGGUGUCAAAACCGGUGGAUCUCGGGUAGGGGGUCCCGAACUGUGCGUCUAGGCGGAUGGUAACAGGAGACAAGGGACACGAUGUUUUACCCAGGUUCGGGCCCUCUUGAUGGAGGUAAAACCCUACGUCCUGCUUGAUUAAUAUUGAUGAUGUGUGUUACAAGAGUAGAUCUACCACGAGAUCAAGGAGGCUAAACCCUAGAAGCUAGCCUAUGGUAUGAUUGUUGUCCGUCCUAUGGACUAAAGCCAUCUGGUUUAUAUAGACACCGGAGAGGGCUAGGGUUACACAGAGUCGGUUACAAUGGUAGGAGAUCUACAUAUCCGUAUCGCCAAGCUUGCCUUCCACGCCAAGGAAAGUCCCAUUCGGACACGGGACGAAGUCUUCAAUCUUGUAUCUUCAUAGUCUUGGAGUCCGGCCGAUCAUGAUAGUUCGGCUAUCCGGACACCCCCUAGUCCGGAACUCCCUCAGUAGCCCCUGAACCAGGCUUCAAUGACGACGAGUCCGGCGCGCAUGUUGUCUUCGGCAUUGCAAGGCGGGUUCUUCCUCUGAAUAAUUUAUAGAAGAUUGUGAACACCAGGAUAGUGUCCGGCUCUGCAAAAAUAAAUUCCACGUACCACCGUAGAGAGAAUAAUAUUACACAAGUUCAAUCUACUGACGUAUUUUGUGGUGUGACGUCACACCAUUACCAAGCCUUUACUCGAAUUGUUUUUAUUGUAUCACCUCAGCGCAUUUAGCGAGGCGGUUUCCUUGGCACGUCUUGUCGAAGCAGAGAUCGUGUUCCCCUUAUUCCGGGAUUCCCAUCAAUACGGACGUGGGUAAACCAACCGCGCCCGUUGCCACGCCCCCUCCAUCGAAGGCGGGUUCCAAACGGUCACGGGGAUGGCUCUUGGUAUUCUUCCUCUUUAUAAUGAGACCAAGGCCCGUUCUUUUCCUUCAAUCCUCUAUCGAAUCCGCCCCUCGCCCCGAGUUCCAACACCCAGGGCUCCAUAUUCGGGUACCUUCGAUCUUCGACAAUGUCCGGCCCCGACCUACGAGGCCGGUGGAUGCCCUCCUCCGUCACGGAAGAGGACGUGCUAAAGCUAAGAGACGCCAGGUACUUAACCUACGAGAUUUCGCAUAGGCUGCCUGCCCGAGGGCAAGUUAUUCCUACUCCCGAGCUUGGCGAGAGCGUCGUGUUCGUGUCUCACCUCCGUCGGGGUUUAGGCUUCCCGACGGAUCCCUUCGUGAGGGGGCUCAUGUUUUACUAUGGGCUGGAGUUCCAUGACUUGGCUCCGAAGUCCAUCCUCCACAUCUCAUCAUUCAUUGUCGUCUGCGAAGCCUUCCUCCGCACUACCCCUCACUUCGUCUUGUGGCUCAAAACCUUCAACGUGGAGCCGAAGAUGAUUGAGGGGUGUCAGACAGAGUGCGGAGGGGAGGUUAUAAAUAAGAGGGCCGAUGCUCCAUGGCCCGAGGGCUCUUUUUAGGAGGAGCUCGGCUUGUGGCAACAGGAGUGGUUCUAUAUCACCGCUCCCAGGGGCAGCAGGCAGAGGCUGCCGCCCGUCUUCCGCUCGGGCCCUCCACAGCGGCUGACAUCAUGGGUCAACAAGGGGCGUGACUGGGGGCCGUCCAAGGACGUUCCCCUGUUGCAGGACCGGAUUCGAGGCCUCCAAGAAAGGGAGAUCAAUCUGGCCGUAGUGGUAUAGGUUAUGUUGAUCCGGCGCCUACUGUCCUGCAAACGUCGCCCCCUCCGCCUGUGGGAAUUUAAUCCGGAGGGGCCACGAGCUCUUCAACACUUCAUGGGUUUGACACCCGCGGAGAUGUACAAACUAUUCUUCAGAUCGCAAGAGAUGCGUCCAGAAUUGACCGAGGAUGCUGGCCUAAGCUGCAAUCGCCCGGAUACUCAAGUAAGUAGCCCUGUGUCCGGACACAUCGUCCAUUCAUUUAUCGUGGGUUUGCCUUUUAACCAGCUAUCCCUUGGACAGGAGUGGAUAGCGCAAGCAAAACUGAUACGGUGUCCGGCCCCCCUUCCUGAGACCACGCAUGAUCCCGUGUUAAUCGAAAUGUUGGAGGUUGCACCUUCGGAGGAGGGCGAAUGGGGGCACAGGGGAACUACCACCUUUGCCAAGGAGGCUUUCAGUAAGGGAGGAAUCGAGAUUCCCUCCUUCCAGGGGGAGAAGAGGACAGCUUCCGAAGACCCGGAGGCCAAGGCCUCAAAGCGGGGAAAGAAAUCUGUACCGGAAGGUCCUGUGCCGGGAAGAGCCCUGGCCGUACUGUCUCCUCGGAGGAAUCAUCCCUCCAGCGAGCCGUAAGUAAAAAAGGGGGAAUUUUGUAAUAGUGGACACCCUUGCUUAAUUUCUAAGGGUAACCGAAGUUUUCAUCUUGUAGUUCGGAUCUCAGCCCGUCUCAGCACAGCUCAUCUUCGGGAGACCUUCGUCCGGAGAUGAUGGAGAGCGAAACACCUCCAUCUGCCGUCCCAUCGUGCGGGACGGACAACCCUGAGGUGUCGUCACGGAGGGUCUCCCCGAGUCCGGCGGGGCCAGAGAGUUCGGCACCCAUUGGAGUACGGCCGGUGGAGCUGCAGGAUUUGCUUAAGAGGGCGUCCAUCUCAGAAGAUCACCGCACAUUAAUGAGUAUGGUGAUUGAGAGGAUCUCAUCCGCCGAAAGCGGGUUGUGUGAGGCCGUCGGAAGUUUGCUGACGGGAUUUGAGGUACGCAAAAAUGACAUACCUUUUGACAGUUUUUGCACAUGAAGUGCGCCCUGUAUAGAUAGUAGCCCCUGAGACUUGGUAUGCUGUCAAAAACAGCAGCGUGCCGAGGAUCAUAAUCUCAGUUAUAGAUUGUCGCCUUUCCUAUGUAGGUGGCGGGACGUUCGGUGGCCAGCCGGACUGAUGGAGUUGCCGAGCUUAAGAGGCAACUCGACGUUGCGGAUGCGGACAUCUCGCUAAUCAAUAAACGACUUGAUGAGUCACAAGGUAUGUGGUUGCUCCGCGGUCGCCUAGUAAGGGAGCUGACGCCCAUUCCUUACAAUUUGUAUGCUUGAUGCAGAUAGUGCUACUGCUGUGGAAUACCUUCGGGCAGAGCUUGCUCGAGCCAAGGAGCAAUCCAGGAUAAGUGAUGCGGCUGCCUUGAAGGCAGCAGAAGAGCUAAAAGCCGAAAAGGCUGCUCACUGCGAAAGCAGGGAAGAGUUGGCCGGAAUGGCCUUGAAAUUAAAAGAUGCUACCGACCGUUGUGAGGUUCUUGAAGGAGAACACCGAGUGGAGCAAGAGGGCCUGAAGAAGGUCGGCGCCGAAGUCAAGGAUCCCCGGAGUGAGAUGCGGGCUAUGAAGGAGGAACUGCGUCAGGCCGGAGACAUUGCGGCUGGAAAGCCCUUUCUUCUGCGUAGGAAGUUCACGGAUCCGAAGUAUGCUCAGCUGGGCCAGUUAUGUGGUGCGGAGGAUCCUUAUCUGGAUUUGGCGGCGAGUGCGGCGGACGCAGUCGUGCACUUCCGAAGCUAGAAGGAUCAUAAAAUGGAAGAACUUUACUGGUCUCAAUUCCAUAGUCCGGAGCGUCCACUUCCGUUGACUGAUCGGCUGGCUGAGUGGGCUGAGCUGAAUAGGUUGUCUGGACUUGCCACGACGGAUGUGGUCACUCAUCUGUGGCCGGAAAGGCCCAAGCCGAAGAGUUAUUUUGGCUUGUUGCAGCAAUUCCUUGGGGCGGUGCCGCAUAUCAAGGCGAUGAAGCGGUCGGCAUGCAUAGAAGGUGCACGGAUGGCUCUUGCCCGUGUGAAGACAUACUGGGCGGACAUGGAUGCCAUCGCUGUUGCAUCCCGGGGUUCAGACAAGAGCCGAUUACCCGCCGAGAACUAUUUUGAGGAAGUCCUGCAGGGCGCUCAUUUAAUAGAAUCGCAGUGCUCGAAAGAUGUCAUGUUCAAAUGACGUGUAUAAUUUGUGAGAUCAUAUUUAUAAUGCAAUAGCUUUUUAUACUUGUGCGUUCAAGUAUUGAACUAUCUCCUGUGCGGCCGUAUAUGUAUGAAUAACCUGAAAGUUGCAGUCUUUGGCUUCAGCCCCCACGCACAUGGUGCGGGGGUGUUUGCAAAAAGAAAAGCGCUUUUUCACACUUAAUCCAACGUCUUGGUCCUUUUAGGGAGGUGAUAGCGUAGCAAACUAGGCAACCGGACUAUAAUGCUUUAUCACUUUCACUUAGCCAUAGGAGCUCGAAUGUGGGGCUACGAUAUAGCCCCUAGCGGCACCGCUCUUCUCCGAACUUCGGGGCGCGUAUGUGCCUGACCGGGAAGCGGUCCUUCGUCAAAGCGGAGGAAUUCUAAACAUUCCAAUGGUCGAUCGAGUGGUUGACCAGUCUCUCGCUAUAUCAUGACAGUCAGUUUUCGGCUUUCUCUAUUGAGGUGCUCGCCCGGCCGGACCGGGGCACAAUCGCAGUAGUUCUCCUGGUGCCGCGUUAGCCAAUGAUACGGAACGUAAGGCAGCAAAACACAGGAGCCGGGCAAACCCAACAUUUGACCAAAGACAUGAUUCGGAGCUGAUGCAUAUAAGGCCUAACUCGAGACGCCGAACACUCCCUGAGGUGUUCGGUCUUUAUGAUACCGGGCAGAACAAUGCCCUAAGCCCCUAGUGUCCAGGUACAGGCGGGAACUUCUGACGCGGCCGAUGCCAAAACGCCAGCCUCCUCCUCGGCUAUGGUGGGAAACCGGGGGAUGUGUAUCAACAAGAGACAGUAAGAAAGGUUUAUGCAUGGUCUUAAUCUGAAAAGAAUCCUUGCAACGGGUCCCUGCUGCACGUCUGCGCCUGUGUCUCCGUUGUGCUGUAUCCUGGACGGGUGUAGCACGUGCUUCAUCUGUAAAAGAGAAGGACUUAGUUUCCAAGAAAUAUCAUGCAGAAGUUGUAUUAAAAUAGUAUAAAAGGAAGAAAGUUGAGCUUUAUUGGCUCUCAUCAUUUAUACACGCGGCCCCUUAUAAAGGGGAUACGCGGCUGGGAAGCCCCUUGUUUAGUUACGCCGGACUCGCCUAACCAUGUCCGAGGUCUGAAUGACCUGUUUUUAGGGGCUUUGACCCGCAAGGUCUGAUUAUUGUGUGGCUGUCGAGGCAGUCUCACGUUCUCCGUGGUCGAGGAACACUCGGAGUUACUUUUUAAUGAAAUUAUGCCACGUUGACCGGGCAUUUUUAAGCGUAAGAAACGCGUAAUGUGGUAUUGCAUUAGGGCUGGCGAAAGCUGCGCCCCCAGUAGUGCUUAAGGGCUACUGUUUGAAUGGGGCGAUGGAUAGUGAGCUUUUCGUGACGGAGGUUGUCGGAUGAACCGAACACAACCUCUAGUGGUACAGAGCCUGUAUAAUUGGCUUAAAGGCCUUGUGUCACUCCUUUGAAGGAAGUGCUGCUAUGGCGAAUUUUGGUAGGGUCUAUCCCCAUUAUGCAGGCGGUGUCCUGGUAUUGCAGGUGCCACGCUGUCUUUUCGUGUUAUCACAUGAAGUGAGUUCACUGUUUUGACUUCUAUUGGGAAAGUCUUCUGUUUUCCGGAGUGCUGCUUUUGGGUUUUGUCACUUUCGCCAGGUGUGUCGAGCCCCUUGUGUUCGACGUUAAGUCGGCCGGACUGUUUGAAGACCCAACAAUCUCUGUGGGUAUGGUUUGCAGGCUUCCCGGAGGUACCAUGUAUUUGACAUAGUCUAUCCAGAAUCUUGUGUAGGUUGGAUAGCCCGUCACUGUUGUCCUUGAGGGGCAGUGUUUUGUUGUUCGGCCGAGAGCUUUUGAAUCCGGCGUUGACCGCCGUACUAUUCGGGCCAUUUUCCUUAUUCCGGCGCUGAUCUUUUCUGCGUCGUGAUUUCCCAUUUCCAUCCCUGACUUCGGAUGUACUCGGGUCGCUGGUGCUGCAUCUAGCCAGCCAGCUGUCUUCCCCCGCGCAAAAGCAGGUCAUGAGGCUUGUUAGUGCGGCCAUUGUUCUUGGUUUUUCCUGGCCGAGGUGUCUGGCAAGCCAUUCGUCUCGGACGUUGUGUUUAAAGGCUGCUAAGGCUUCAGCGUCCGGACAGUCGACUAUUUGGUUCUUUUUAGUGAGGAACCUAUUCCAGAAUUUGCGUGCUGACUCUCCGGGCUGUUGAGUUAUGUGACUUAAAUCGUCUGCAUCCGAAGGGCGGACAUAGGUCCCCUGAAAAUUUGCUCGAAAUGCAUCCUCAAGCUCUUCCCAACUUCCAAUGGUAUUUUCUGGGAGGCUUUUAAGCCAAUACCGAGCUGGCCCUUUGAGCUUGAGGGGUAGGUAUUUUAUGGCAUGGAGAUCGUCUCCUCUGGCCAUAUGUAUGUGUAGGAUGUAAUCCUCAAUCCAGACUCCGGGGUUUGUUGUUCCGUCAUAUGCCUCUAUGUUUACGGGUUUGAAUCUCGCUGGAAAUCCAUGAUCCAGUACCUCGUCGGUGAAACAUAGUGGGUGUGCGGUGCCCCUGUAUUUGGGUGUGCCGUUGUCUUCAAAUGCUCGGCGGGUUAUGUUGCUUCCUGGAGUCUUCUUUUUUGGCCCGUAAAUAGAUCUGACUGGGUCGUCCUUUUUCCGAGGAUCUUUAUGCUGAUCGUGUGCCGGCUUGUGUGCGGCGCCCCUUGUUGCUCUUGGCCUGUCAUCUGGUCGUCUAUCCGGCCAGGCGACUUCUUUCUUUUUUGACUGCGGGGGCUCUAAGGCCUCCUCGUCAAAUUCGGGCAACAGCUUGCGCUUCGGGUAGCUCUUUGUCUGGUGACUAGCGCCAUGUUUAUCUGCGCUGUUGAGUACUUUGCUCCAUCUCAUUCUGAGUGCGUCCUCCGCUGUUUUGAGCUUCCGCUUUUGCUUCUUCAAACUUCUUGCAGUGGCGAUGAGCCUUUUAUGAAGAUUCGUAUGCUCUGGUGAUGUGAGAUCGUCUUCGCCGGGGAUGGGUUGCUUGUCCAGUUCAUGUCCGGCUGGCUGCUUGGUGACAUGUGCGUCGUCCACUGCUUCGCCCUGCUCUAGGGCCGGGUCCGUAUGGGUGCCGUUUUUAUCGAGGCCGGUCUUCGGGCGGCGCUUGCGUUGCCGUUUUGGUUGUUUGUUGGGGGAGUUGUCCUUCGCCACAUCCCGUUUUCCCUCAUUAUCGCUUCCUUUUGGUGUAUCCACCAUGUAUACGUCGUGAUUUGGGGUGGCUUUCCCAUGCCCGGUAGGCGCUGGUUCUUGGUCGUUUCCGGCAUCGUCGUCCAUACUGUCGACGUCUUCGGAGUCAUAGUUUAGCAUGUCGGUUAAAUCGUCGACAGUGGCUACGAACUGGGUGGUGGGUGGGCUUUGAAUUUCUUCAUCGCCCGCAUCCCAACUGUCCUGGCCGCAGUCCGGCCAGGGCUCUCUUGAUAACGAGAGACACUUUAGCGCACUCAAGAUGUCGCCGAAAGGUGAGUAUUGAAAGAUGUCCGCUGCGGUGAACUCCAUGAUCGGCGCCCAAUCGGAUUCGAUCGGAGGGGGCGCGGGAGGUUCGGAGUCCGGCGAGGAGUCCGACACCUUGGAGUCACGAGCUUUAUGAGGGACAAGGUUAGUGUUCGGCUCUAUCGCCAUAGAGGUUGCAGCCCCCGAGGCGGUGUCUAGCCAUCCGUCCUCGAUCUGCGCAGCCGGCUCCGAAUUGAAGAUCGGAGCGGGUUCGAGUGCGGCCUCCAGGGUACUGUCCGGCUGCAGAGCUAAAUCAUGCUCGCCGUGACAGUGCGGCACGCUCGGCUGUGGCUCGAAUCCAUCGAGGAUCAAGUCCCCGCGGAUGUCAGCCGUGAAGUUCAAAUUUCCAAAUCUGACCUGACGGCCAGGGGCGUAGCUUUCGAUCUACUCCAUACGGCCAAGCGAAUUGGCCCGCAGUGCAAAGCCGCUGAAUACGAAGAUCUAUCCGGGGAGAAAGGUCUCACCCUGGACUGCGUCAUUGAUGAUGGUCGAAGAAGCCAUCGAGCCUAUCGGUGACGACAUAGAGGAACUCUCAAUGAAAGCACCAAUGUCGGUGUCAAAACCGGCGGAUCUCGGGUAGGGGGUCCCGAACUGUGCGUCUAGGCGGAUGGUAACAGGAGACAAGGGACACGAUGUUUUACCCAGGUUCAGGCCCUCUUGAUGGAGGUAAAACCCUACGUCCUGCUUGAUUAAUAUUGAUGAUGUGUGUUACAAGAGUAGAUCUACCAUGAGAUCAAGGAGGCUAAACCCUAGAAGCUAGCCUAUGGUAUGAUUGUUGUCCGUCCUAUGGACUAAAGCCAUCCGGUUUAUAUAGACGCCGGAGAGGGCUAGGGUUACACAGAGUCAGUUACAAUGGUAGGAGAUCUACAUAUCCGUAUCGCCAAGCUUGCCUUCCACGCCAAGGAAAGUCCCAUCCGGACACGGGACGAAGUCUUCAAUCUUGUAUCUUCAUAGUCUUGGAGUCUGGCCGAUCAUGAUAGUUCGCUAUCCGGACACCCCCUAGUCCGGAACUCCCUCAACCACUGUCCCACCUUUGUGGGCAAAGUGUCGAACACCUUGCAGUUGUGGUGGAAAAGAGGCCGCGAUGAUCACCUCGAUGGAGGGGUGGUUGGCGGUCGGCUACUGGCCGCUCUGGAGCACUCGUCGGAAGCUGCCGUGGCCACCGUGGUACGUCGCCUGCGGUCGUAUCCACUCUGCCGCCGGCUACAACAGCGACGGCCAAACCUCCUCCGAUCGACGGCCUAAACUACGGCGAAAGCACGGGCGUGGUGGCAGCCAUGUCGAGACGUGGUUUGCUAUGGACGGCCGGGGGCUGCGCGGUGAGGAGGCGGCCGGAGAAUAGCGGCGGCGCCGUCCGCGGGGCGGGGCGGGAGAGGGGGUGGAGGCGUUGGAAUCGAAUGGGACUACUUGUGUCUCCGACACGUGGGCCACGGGGGGACAAGUGCGUGCGGCGAGCCCGUCCGCGUGAUGUCCGUUUCACCUCAAACUCGGCGCAAGUUUGGGCCGGGGAUGGGUCGAAAAUGGACGGAAUCCGGACAUUUGUCCGUUUGGGGCCGCGCGUUGGGCCGCGCUAUUCGUCUGUUCUACCCCAAAUGGACGCACCCGGACAAUAUGGGGUCGCGCAGUGGAGUUGGCCUAAUAGCACCCCAGGUCCCUAUACUUGCACUGCAUGUGAUGGUUUUUUUCUUGUAGUUGCAAAAGCAAAUUAUUUCAUCCCUGAACUUGUCACGGAGGUUCAAGUUUAGUCCUUGGCCAAUCACAGCUCGCCAACUGGAUGCCAAGUGGACUGGCUGGUGAGCACGCGGUGUUUUGCACUUACCCUCCUGCCUUCUUCCCUUAUCAACUUGUAGUGCAACACAAUGUGGCACCUGAAUAAAUGUUGUCUCCCUCGGUCAAUCAUUAACUCCUGUUCCUCUUGUCUUCGCCUCUCCCCCUCCAACCGCGUGAGCUGCUGCCGCUGGAGCUGGAGCCGCGGGCUCACGUCAGCCAUCAUGGCGACAUUGGCGGAGCUCACCGGCGGUGUGCAGCCGCCUCCUUCUGUGCAUCAAGUUAGGCAGCACAGUGUCUUCCCUCCUGAUUACGGUGUGUCCUCAAGUUCUGCUCUGUUCGUCCUCCUCCGCUUUGUUUUUCCUUGUUUGUCGCACAUAGCGCCGGCGUAUCGGUCUGUUUUGUGAGAGAUUCUUAUACAUCUAGUGGUACUUCUGGCCUAUUGUUCUUGCAACGGCUUAAAGAACUGAUUUUGACCACAGAUUUUAGCCUAGGGUUUAGGUAUUUCUAUUUUAGGUAAAAUGUUUAGGGUUCAUAUGAUGCUGUGGAUUUAGUACACAAGGAAGCCAUUGCAAAUUGUUUGGACUACUUAACAGAUCAUGACUGUAACAUAAAUAACCAAUUAAUCUGCAAGAUGUAGUUAACUGAAAAUUUCAGUUAUUAAACUGCAGUUUCAAGAUGCAGUAACUUAAUUAUCGUCAGUUAAAUAUAUUGCUCCACUUAAUUUUGAUCUUCUGAGGGGUGUAUAUCUUUGUUGUACUGGAUUUGUUUAGUAAAUCUAGAAGAGGUAGUUAACUGAACUUUUGCAGUGAACUAACGGCAUUUUACAAGAUGCAGUUAACUGAUUUUGUGCUUAUAUUCUGCUAUAUAAUUGUAAUGUUGAUGUUUGUGCUUAUAUUCUACUCUAUGUGGGUGUAGUGUGUGAUUCAGCAAUGGGACAAAGUGUGGAUACUCCUUUCUUUACACUAGAACUUGAGCAUGGUGGAAUUUUCUGUGUGCCAACAAAUAACAUGAAGUAUUACAAUCCAUCUGUGGAGGUGAUUGAUUAUGUUGAUGCUGGUUCAUUCUCAUAUGCAGUCAUUGAAGAGCAUCUAAAAUGGCUGGGAUAUUCUGUCAAUGAGCACAUAAUUUACUGGCCAAGACCUGGUAAACCAAUUUCAGAUGGGAUGGGUGAGAACCAAAGGUGAUGAGGAUGUGCAGAAAAUGAUCAGAGAAAGUGCUAACCAUAAAGUGCUUGUAAUCAUGGUGGUCCAUUCAGAUUUCAUCAGUAACUUUAGGGGAGAUUUGAUAGUGACAUCAUUUCAAAGCCCUGACACAAUGGCCAUCCUAACAUCAUCUCAUAGCCUCAUUUCAGUCAAUGUUGAAUGUCCCCUUUCAGAGGUUGCAACAGAUUUGUAGUCUGAAGAAAAUUUGCUUAGUUAUGGUGCACAGUCUGAAGAUACAGUGCUGUCAGAUUCAGAUUUCAGUGACAGUGAUUAUGACAUAGAUGAUGGUGAUGAUGAUCUUUAUGAAGAGAAUAUUGACUUUGAUGUUAAUGAACAAGAUCGGCUAGAGAAGGAAGAGGUUGAGCCUGACUAUCUACUUGAAGAUGAAGAUCUUGACAUCUCCACUAAAGAACAGGAGAAACUUAAGUACAAGUUCAAAGCUUUCACUUCCAAGGUGGACAUGAAAUCCCUUGUAUUAAAAGCAGGCAUGGUCUUUGAUGAUGUGGUUGAGCUGACGAAAGCUCUUACUACAUAUUCAAUAAGGAACAGAGUGCAGAUCAAGAAGCUGAAGAAUGUUAAGAUAAGAUUGGAGGCAGUGUGUACUGCAGGCUGCCCUUGUCUGCUUAAGGCUAGCUAUGACAACAGGACUGGAGGAUUUGUCAUAAAGGCUUACAAUUUAGGGCAUCUUUGCCAGAAGAAGGAAAAUAAAAGAUUUGAUAGCUAAACUCUUGUGCAACUUUUUCAUAGAUGAGUUCAGAGAUGACCAGAAGAUGUCACUUGGCACAUUUCAAGAAAAAUCACUAGUGAAUUCAAUGUUACCCCUAAUAGAUGGAAGCUAGCAAGGGCUAGAAAGCAAGCACUUAAUCAGAUCCAUGGUGAUGAGGAGGAGCAGUUCAGCAGGUUAUGGGAUUAUGGGCAUGAAUAAAGGACAAAAAAUCCUGGGUCUACAUUUCUGGUUACUACUGAACUUGUCAAGGAUACCAAGUUUCCAUUGGGCGGGAAGUGUUUGAAACAUUGUAUUGGUCUUAUGAUGCAUGCAAAAGAGGUUGGCUAAAGGGCUGCAGGCCAAUUAUAUUCAUUGAUGGCUGUCAUAUGAAAACAAGGUUCAAAGGAGUGCUGCUUAGUGCUGUAGGUAUUGAUCCUAAUGACUGCAUUUUCCCAAUUGCAAUGGGUUGGGUGGAAGUAGAAUGCACUGGUUCAUGGGAGUGGUUUCUGACCAGUUUGAAAGAUGAUCUAAACAUCACUAACACUUCUCCUUACACAAUUAUGAGUGACAAGCGAAAGGUUUAAUAAAUGUUGUGCAUAAAGUUUGGCCUGAUUCAGAACACAUGCUUUGUGUGAGGCACAUUUACCAGAACUUCAAUGAGAAGCACAAAGGGGAGGUUCUGAAGCAAGACCUAUGGACCAUUGCAAGAUCACCCAACAAAGUCAAGUGGAUAGAAAAUUGUAAGAAGAUGGAUGAUCACUGCCCAGUUGCAUUUCAUUGGACUGAAAGGCUGGAGCCAAAUACUUGGUGCAAAGCAUUUUUCAGUGAAUUUCCCAAAUGUGAUAUUCUGCUGAACAAUAACUUUGAAGUGUUUAACAGGUGAAUUGGUUGUUAAAUUUGGUUCUUUAACUCCGUGCUUUCAACAUAUCAGUAGUACUACUAAGCACAUCAUACAUAACUGAAUUCUUCCACUCUUUGUGCAGCUAUAUUCUUGAUGGCAGAGAGAUGCCAAUGCUUAGUAUGCUUGAGUACAUUUUCUACAAGAUCAUGCACAGGCUAGUGAGUAAGCAGAGAGAAGCUAUAGAAAAGUGGACUCACCAGAGGAUAUGACCUAAGAUCAAGAAGAAAUUGGACAAGAAUAUUGAGUUUGCUGCAAAUUGCCAUGUAUCAGAAGCUGGCCAGCAGCUAUUCAAAGUUCAAUCAGGUAAUUCUAGCUACACAGUGAACCUGUGCUUGCACACUUGUGAUUGCAGGAGAUGGCAGUUAGGGGAGUACCCUGUGGGCAUGCUAUAGCUUGUUGCAGGGAGGAGAGAAUUGAUCCUGAAACAAUGGUGCAUGAAUGCUAUACUGUUCAAACAUAUCUCAAGGCAUAUGGGUACACUCUAGUGCCUCUAGGAGACCCGAAGGAGUGGGAGAAACAGAAUGGAUAUAAGGUGCAUCCACCUGUCUUCACUAAACAGUUGGGGAGGCCCAAGAAAAAUAGGAAGCAGAGACCAGGGGAGAAGAUUAAGAAUGGUGUCAGUGUUUUGAACAGAAAAGGUCUUACAAUGCACUACUCAAUUUGUGGUAGAGCUGAUCACAACAGAAAAGGUCACUACAAAUGGCAGGAAACUAUCAUUCAGGAGGGUGUAGAAGAGGUUGAUGAAAACUAUGAUGACCCAACUUUUCUCCAGGUAAUAUAAAUGAACUUAACUAAGCUUAACCAAGCUUAAUUGAGCUUAACUAAGCUUAACUAAACUUAACUGAAUUUAACUAAGCUUAACUGAACUUAACUAAGCUUAACUGAACUUAACUGGACUUAACUGAAUUUAAAUGAACUUAACUGAGCUUAACUAAAUUUAACUAAGUUUUGUGCUUUACAAAACAUCUUCCCUAACCAGCCAGAUCCUAGGUUGGACCCAACUGAGUCACCAACCAGUAUGGUGUUCAACAUGACUCAAAGAGAGAUUGCAAGAAGAUGUACUGCAAGGGUUCAUGUGCCACUGCCUGAGCUUUCUUCAUUUGUUGCUGCUGCUGGUGCUGCAAUACCUCAGCCAAGAGUUACUACAGAAAUGCACAUAGGGAGGCAAACAAGGGCACGCACACAAGCUAAUAACAAUGCAGCUACAGCUGGUAGGGGAAGAGGAAGGAAAAGAUCAAGAAAUGCGGAUGCAACUGCAGCUAGAGGAAGAGGAGCAAAUACAACUACUGGAAGAGGAAGAGGAGCAAAUGCAACUAUGGGGAGAGGAAGAGGAGCAGAUACAACUUCAGGGAGAGGAAGAGGAGCAAAUGAAACUUCAGGGAGAGGAAGAGGAGCAAAUGAAACUUCAGGGAGAGGAAGAGGAGCAAAUGCAAUUUCAGGAAGAGGAAGAGGAGCACAUGCAGAUGACCAAGUUUCAUUUGCUGGUCUAGGAGGAGCACCAAAUGCAAAUGCAUAUGCUUGGAGAGGAGGAGCAGUAGAUGCAAAUGCUUGGACAUGAGAAGUUCCAUCUGCAGGGAGAGGAAGAGCAAAUGUUCCAUAUGCAGGAUGGAUAUGGCUUCUGUUUGGAGAUCAGAGGACAAUUCCUGAUCUCAAUGUCCUGCUCAUGAUUUCAUGGCACCACAUCAGUGAUUUGGUGGCAGUGAUUGCCUGCCGUUCUUUUUUGUUAAGGCCCACAAUAAUUUAUUGACUGGCCUGUUUUUGAUAAGCAAACAAUGGCUUAAAUUGCCUGUUUUUUGAUGGCAAACAGUGGCUCACAAUGGCAUUCAUUUCCCUUUUUGUAACUAACUUUCAUGGAUUUGGUGAUUCUGUAGCUCAUUUAGAGAACUGGGGUGCUGAUGUGGUUGUGUUAUUGAUUGUAACAAAAAUGAGUAACUGGAAAUUCAGUUAACGGAAGAUUAAGUUAACUAAAUCUUCAGUAACACUGGAUCUUAGGGUUAACUUUAUCUUCAAUGCACUAACGCUGUAAAAAAAUCAGUUAUCUAGUAACACCUUGCAACAACAUAACUUGGGCAGUCAUACAAAUUUAGUUAACUAAAAGCAGUCAUACAAAUUUAGUGCAUUACAUAAUACUGGCAUACAAAUUAACCAAGUUCACUAAAGGAGUACAACUAAUUAGUAGCUCCAACUUAAGGCAACAUUACACCAACAAUGAAUUACUCAAAUUCAUCUAAGAUCUCCUUCACCCUCCUUAUCUUGCUCUUGGUCUCCUCCUUGUGCCUGAACAAUCACCAAUCAUGUACUCUAGUUUAUUCUUCUCCUUCUUCAACUCAUUCCUCUGUGACACCACUUUCUCCAUCUCUUCCUUCAUGUUGUCCAUUUGUUGCUUCAUCACAUCCCUCUCUUUCCCUGCCUUAGCCCUCACAACCUGAUGAAUGCUAGUAUUAGAUUUACCAGACAUCUUCUUCUUCUCCAGCUCUUGCUUUAGGUCAGAGAGAGCUAGCCUUGUGUUGCCCAAUUCAGUAAUUGCCUGCUCCUUGUCAGCCACCAUCUUAGCAAAAUCUAGUUAAAAAACCUCAGAUCUUUUUCCAUCUUUUCCUUCUCUCUUACAACCCUAAAAUUUUCUUCAGCAUUAACUACAUUCUCCCUGAGCCUUAGCUUGUUCUCAUCUUCAUACAUGCCCCAAAUCCUAGCUAAACUCAUCUUCAGAGUGGUAGGCCAUUCAGGGUCAACCCACUCCACAUAGUUGCAUUUAGGUAUUUCCCACAAAAUAAGAUGAAGAUGAAUUUUUUUAGAUAAAUGAAAAAUCUUGGAGCACUAUUGAUCUACUCUUACAGCACUAUGGCACAAAAAGGUAAUAUCAAUUCUUAGCAUAACCAAAACUUCUGCAGAAAACAAGAUGCAGUUAACUAAAAAAAUUAGUUAUUUAACUGCAGUUUUCUUCAGCUAAUUGAAUUUUCGUCAAUUAACUAUUAACUACAGCUUUCUUUAGUUAACUCAACCACAGUUACAUGCCACACGCUAAGCUUAUACAGAUCAUAGUAAGAUGACACAUUCCAAGUUUGGAUUUAUCUGUAGAUCUACUAACCUUUUGUGCACAGGCAAGAUACCUCCUUCCACUGCCAACUGAUUCAAAAGACACAAACUUCUCAUAGACACAAUGGUGUUCACAUCUAGCUGCAAGAUCUAGAGCAAGGCCUCUCCACUCAGAGCAGAAAAUGGUGGCAGGAGCAGGAGCCUACAACAUAUUCUAGUCAGCAAAAUUCCCCAUUCUUGCCCUAACCCUAGCUGCCAGAGGAGGCAUAGUGAUGAACCAACCUCACUUGUGACAGAGUAGCCGUUGGACGACGAGCUAGAUCCUUCACUCCAAGAUACCAUGGCGGCGAGCUGGACAGCGGCGGCGAGCUGGAGCAGGGGAAGGAAGCGAGGGAGCAGACAUGUGAGUGAAGGGGUGAGCUACCGACAAGAUUGGAAAGAAUAUUCCAAAGAAUAUACCAACACAACACAGGUGCCACAUUGUGUUGCACUACGGGUUGAUAAGGGAAGAAGGCAGGGGGGUAAGUGCAAAACGCUGCACGCUGACUAGCCAGUCCACUUGGCAAGCUGUGAUUGGCCUAGGACUAAAGUUGCACCUCCAUGACAAGUUCAGGGAUGAAAUAAUCUGCUUUUUGCAAGUACAAAGACCAAACCAUCACAUGGAGUGGAAGUACAGGGACAUGGGGUGCUAUUACCUCAAUCUAGUACUUCCCAGCUGGACUGCCGCUACACUGUCUCAAACUCGGUCCGUUGCAGCCGGAAACCGUCUCGUCGAAUACUACUACUCCCUUUACUAAGGCAGCCACAAGUACUAUACUUCCUCCGUCCCAAAAUAAGUGUAUCACCGUAUUAACUCUAAUAUAAAUCAUAUUAAUUUUAAUAUAAAUUUGUACUAAGCUCAAGACACUUAUUUUGGGACGGAGGGAGUAGAUCGGAGGGAUUAGCAAACUGUUAUUAGCUUGUUGACGAGCUCGAGUGAGCCCAAUUAGGGCCCUUUCCGUACAGCCGGCGGUAUAUAUAGACCAAAGCAUUGGGGUUUUGAGGAGAAAGAGAGAGACGGAGGUCAUUGGAGUAUUCCGCUUCUUUUGGGGCAUGAAGAUCAGAGGGUCGGUGCGGAUUAUAUAUACGUAGGUUAGAGGAUCCUCGGCCACCCCAAAGCAAUAGGCAGCGGCUGCACAAGUAGUAGGGCGGUGCGUAGCAGGUAGGUAUUUCUCGUUGGCUCUUGUCGGAUGGUUGAUACGAUUCUUUUACCCAUGGGCAACUGAGCUGUAACAUGCAUGCGCCUGCUUAUUCUAUCAGCUCCAAAACAACCUAUGAGGCCACGCCAAGCCAAGCUCCACCGUUGCCUCGCGUAGUCACAUGCGCUGCACCUCCGCUCACCGUCUGCCGUCUGGCGCCCAUGUGUAUGCCUACAAUAUUCAGAUCGAGCUUGGUGAUUUGCCUCCCGGUCGAGCCAUUUUAGGGCAUCUCAUCAUCAAAAUGCACACAUAUGUUUACAUCAUAUGGUCCGAACAUUUUUGGGCCUCCCAAGUUGUCAUCACAUUGGGGUAGACCGAUCCGAAUGCCAAAUGUGUGUGGGUGUGUGGGUGUGUGUGUGUGUGUGUGGGGGGGGGGGGUGUCGAAACCCUCUCCAACCGUUCGGCUCUAGAACACCCCGCUUAUUUUCAACUGUUGUGAUCGGCCGCCCGCCUACCCACACUCAAGCCGGCUAUGACAGGUUGCACACAUUCCCGCCGGGGCGCCUAUGACAGGUUGCCCACAUUCCCGCCGGGGCGCCGCCUGAGAAGACUAUCGGUUACCCGCAUUCAAAUGUUCGCCAUUCUGCCUACCCUGGAUAUAUAAAGCCGAACGGGCACACCCCAAAACCCUACCUUUGAUACCCUUCUCCCACGGUCUAACCACAAUUCGCAUUCAUGUCUGUCGUCACAAUGGCUGGCUCAGUGGCUUUGUGGUUCAAGCAGUUGUCGUCGAGGUGACACGCCAAAAUCGCGGCGGAGAUACACGCCACGGACGACCAGUGCCAGACCCAAGGCAUGGCAACCUUCAAGCUCUCCGAGGCCGAGCUCGGGGGAGGAGGAGAUGGAUGAAGAGGAGGUUGACCCAAUGGCCAUGGCAGAAGUCCAGAGGAGGCAACGCUUGCGACGGCGACAAAGGAGGAUGACGACGACCCGAUGGUCGUCCACACCACACCGAUGUCCGGGUUCAGACUGCCGCAGGCGGAGUAGCAGUACAACCUAUUGCUCUUGCAGGAGCACCGGUGUUCAACUGAACAUGAAGCAUGCAUGCACCCGAUGUUCACUACAAAAAAGAAACAUCUGUGAUGAUACACCUUUGUCACAUCGUGUUUUCUGUCACCCAAGUACAUCCAUGACAUUUUUACGACAAAAUCAAGAUAGUCAUACAUGUGAUGUCGAGGAUGUGUUCCAUGACAAUAAUAAAUUUAUCACCAUGGAAGUGUCCACUUCUGUGAUGAUAAAUGACGCGUCAUGGAAGUGUUUUCGUCAAGGGUUACCUACAUGUGGCAAGCCAUUGUAACGGGUCACCCUUAAGCUAUCAGGUGCAGGUUUUGAAUCCGAUACCUGUUAACAGCUCCAACCAAUGAUGAUUUUCUUACGUGUCGAAUUUUGAUUAAUAUGACAUUGUUCAUAAUUAAGACAAAGCAGGUUAUGACGUUGUGCAGGUGUGGACAAGUUUGUUAGCCAUUGCAUUGUUCCACAAUAUUCUUUUGGUACGCGCAUUCUCAUAUUCAUUAUUAUCAUGUUCAAUAUCUGAGAUACAUGAAAACAUAAGUAGUAGUGAGAUUAUCUUUGUAAUGCUAAGGGUAUUCUAAUCUAAUAGGGGCUCCCUAUAAACCCCUAUGUGCUAUCUCUAGAAUUAUGAUGAGAGAUGUCAUGUGUGUUGUAAUUUGGUGCAUACAUUAAUAUAAUCAGGCCCUACUACUCAACAAAAUAUGCUUCCUGUUGAGAGCUUGAUAAUUAGUGAUAGUUGGCAGAUGAUAGGUUCAAAAUAUGUUAUACAAAGUUCAUUGCCAAACCAUGAUGAACAAAGCACAUGGAGAAAUAGUAUUCCCUCAUGCCUCUCUAUAUGUGGCGCACAUGCAUUUCGAAACCCAAGUAGGAACAUUAGCUGACCAAUUGAACGUGUCUAUUUUACUAAUAUCAGUAUUGUAUCAGAUUUGUAUUUGACAACUAAGCUUUGGAAUUAUAAGUGGCAUGUUGUUUAGCUUGAAGGGUGGAGUGCUGCUAGUAUGAUACAAAGCAUCUAGGCAGAUUGUGUAGAUAAAAGGGGACCUAAGAAUCAUGAGUAAAAUCAGGAAAGUGGAACUGGCUGAAAAAUAUGGGGUUGUAUUGCUUCUACUACUCGAAAGGCUUUGGAUCCCGACGAGACAACUCUCUUCAACUAAAAGUGCACUACUGUUACUGUCAGUCUAGUCUGUUGAAGCCACAAACUGAUGGGGUCAUGUACCAGGGGUGGACUACACAAGGGAGCCCGACCUCGUCAGCUAUAUGGGGCCUGUUAGGCCCAAGACUAGAAGGAAGCCCCAUGAGGCGGAGGCGACCUUCUUGUCCUCCAAGACUAGAGGGCGGCGGCGCUAUAGAUCACAUCUAUCUCAUGUAAACCCUAGACCUCCACUGUGUAUAUAAAGGGAGCACUACUGGAAUCAGGAUCUUUGCCAUCAGCCAGCUCUUUGCCGUCAGCUAGCUGAUGGCAAAGAGGGUCUUUGCCAUCAGCUUGCAGAAAACUGACGACAAAGAAGGAGCUGACGACAAAGAUAGUGUUUGCCGUUAGCCGCCUCUUUGCCGUCAGCUAGCUGACGGCAUAGAAUCUUUGUCGUUGGCUAGCGGACGACAAAGAGGGAGGGUGGCCCACUAAUGAAAGCCACCUAACGGCCAUUUUCUUUGCCGUCUGCUAGCAGAUGGCAAAGAAACUUUGCCGUCCGCUAGCAGACGACAAAGAAAGUGGCCAAACUAACGUUCGUUAGCUAGGCAUUUUGCCGUCUGCUAGCAGACGGCAAAGAGCUGUGCCCUAUCUAACAAAAGGCCCUCACCCUACCUGUCUCUUCCUCCCCUCAUCAAUACCCGCGCCGCCGGCUGCCCCGCCCCACCGCGCCGCCCAGGCCCGGCCGCUCCGCUCCGCCCCGCCUCGCCGCCCCGGCNNNNNNNNNNNNNNNNNNNNNNNNNNNNNNNNNNNNNNNNNNNNNNNNNNNNNNNNNNNNNNNNNNNNNNNNNNNNNNNNNNNNNNNNNNNNNNNNNNNNNNNNNNNNNNNNNNNNNNNNNNNNNNNNNNNNNNNNNNNNNNNNNNNNNNNNNNNNNNNNNNNNNNNNNNNNNNNNNNNNNNNNNNNNNNNNNNNNNNNNNNNNNNNNNNNNNNNNNNNNNNNNNNNNNNNNNNNNNNNNNNNNNNNNNNNNNNNNNNNNNNNNNNNNNNNNNNNNNNNNNNNNNNNNNNNNNNNNNNNNNNNNNNNNNNNNNNNNNNNNNNNNNNNNNNNNNNNNNNNNNNNNNNNNNNNNNNNNNNNNNNNNNNNNNNNNNNNNNNNNNNNNNNNNNNNNNNNNNNNNNNNNNNNNNNNNNNNNNNNNNNNNNNNNNNNNCUUGUUCUUUUUCUUCUUCUGUUUUUUAGAUUUAGUUUAAUUAGGUUUAGUAUAAUUUACUUUAGGUAUAGUUUAGGUUUCGUUUCUGUUUUUAGGUUUACGUUUAGAUUUAGUUUAGUUUAGGUUUAGUUCAGGUUAAGAAGAAAUAAGAAAAAAGAAAGUUUAGGUUUAGGUUAGUUUAGGUUUAGUUUAGGUUAAGUUUCUGGUUUAUUUUGAGCAUGUCACAUUUGUUGUUAUUUUCUUAGUUAAAGCAUUUAUUCACGCAUCGACAUCGAUGAUGCCUAUCCCGCAUCCUCGUCGUCAACUCGGCGGAGGAGGCCUGCUUGAUCAGAGGGGCCAUGUCCAAGACUGGGCUCCGCCGGGCUGGUACUAUGAGGUGCUACCUUCCGGGGGCGCAGCUUGGUGAGGAGCCAGCCCGUCGUUGACCCGAACCUUCUUUGGUGGCGGUUGCGUGGGCCAGUGACGGUGCGGAGGUGGCAAACUUCAUGACAGCACACUACAAAGCCAAAAAUUGUCAUUUGCAUAAUCUGAAGCCUCGGUACAAUGCUGGCGACCCUAAAAAGGGUUGACCCAACCUCAGUCUAUUCAAAUGGGAUCUGGCACCAGCCGGUGCUUCUAAUUCCUUAAUGUUGGAUUUCUAAGAAUGGCAGACCAUUUCGUUGUAUACCUUCAACAACCUAAUAGAAGUGCGGCCGUACAUCGAGUAAGUUCUCGGUACAUUGUUUCGCAACUUCUAAUUCCUUUGAACUGCUUAUUCCCGGAUAAAUUUGAUAUAGUCAAUACAUCGCCAAAUUCUCGUAUGGAGCGGUGAUCCAAAAGGAUUCCGUCGAAGAGUAUGAGCUUUUGGCAAAGCAUGGAGGCGGCUAUCCCGAUUUCAUCUCUUGGUUCAAACAAAUGGUAAUUUCCAUUAGACCAUUUCAUUUCUUCGUCUAAUUUGUGGCUAAUGCAACAAUGCCUUUCGUAUUAAACUUGUAGGCUAAUUCAGAGCUUAUCAACGCCGAAUUGGGACAAAUCGGUAAUGGUUUUGACUUUAAGGUCCGUUCGUUUGACAAAUACGACAUCAACGGGUAUCGCUUUCAUACCUAUGGCAAAGAGCUAUCUAUGGCCGACCGAAAGUCUACAAAUUGUUGUGUCUUUGCUAUCAGCGAAGGAGAUACCGAGUAUUAUGGAAGAGUUGAAGCAAUUUAUGAACUUCAAUUCUAUGGUGCAAACCCACCAAACGUCGUAGUCUUCAAAUGUUAUUGGUUCCAGCCGAAGGAGACUAGAAGGACUCAUGAACAUAUAGGGCUAAUGGAAAUCAAACAAAGCACCCAUUUGGAUGUUCCCGAUGUCUAUAUUAUGGCUCAACAAGCAACCCAAGUUUUCUAUCUACCGUGGGCCUGUCAAAGUGAUCCUAAUCUCAAUGGUUGGGAUGUCGUUUAUGAAGUGCCGCCACAUGUUAGACCACCUCCCCCCAAUGAAGAGGAUUAUGAACCUCACAUUAACCCAAACACAUAUGAAGGAGAAUUCUUCCAAGAAACACGUCUUUCCAAAAAAAACAUUUCAAGAAUUGCUCUACUUCACCCCAGAACAUUGAAGUAGACAGCGAUAGUGAACCCGACUUCACCCCUCAGCCGGAACAAGAAGAGCCUAAACUAGAAGAGGUUACUGCUGCGGAUGACCUGUCAAUGCUUGACCCAUUAUGUAGUGGUGGCCUUCCACAUGAUGAUGCAUUUAUUAAUGAUGAUGAGCACGUCAUUACUGAUAGUGAUGAUGAUGAUGCAUUUAUUGAUCCCGAAGCAUUUAUUGAACCCGACAAUCCAGAUUAUUACUAGGUAUUAAUUUUUUUAUGUUGUACUUGAUUUAUAUAGUUACUUGUAUGAUUGUAUGAUUUAUAUAGUUACUUGUAUAAUUUCCUUACUUUGUAUGAUUUUUUGUUAUACAUAGUGCCAUGGUCUUGAUAUCCGUCCCCGUCGGGCCUCGCCCACUUUAUGAUUCAAAUGUGGUAAAUCCUCUUUUAAAACUAUUUGUUGCAUUUUGCAUUUAUGACAAUUAUGGCCAUCAAGUUGACAUAGAGAUAUUUUAAUCUAGGAGGUAUGUGAACCAUAAUUUGCAACCGACCCUCUUAUCGAGAAGUUAAAUUUAGUUGAAAAAGAAAAUGAGUAUUUGAAAGAAAAAAUUAAAAGAAUUGAAGAAGAGAAGAUGAAAUUGGAGUUGUAUGUUGCCGAUGUGGUCGAUGAUCACAAGAUGAAGAUGAAUGCAAUGCGCUUGAAGAUGGAUGCAAUGCGCUUGAUGAUUAAGAAGAUUAGAAAAUAUGCCAUUGAUAAUGAGUCUUGGUAUCAUUAUGCCGUUGGAUCAAUUGUUACCUUAGUUGCAAUCUUUAUCGCAUUUGUUGUGAUGAGGGUAAGUUUUCUCUAGUGUUUUGCUUAACAAAUGCAUACUUAGCUUACUUUCCUCCUAAAUGGCAUAACUACCUAAGUUAGACAAAAAAAGAGCUAUACUUAGCUUACUUUCCUCAAAAAUGUCAUGAUAAUCUUUGUUACCUCCAAAAUGAUAUAGACUUACCUUACUUUCCUCAUAAAUGACAUAAUAACCAUAGUAAGCUCCAAAAUGACCUAUUUACCUAGCUUAGCUCUAAAAUGACCUACACUUAGCAUUUUUACCUUGCUUAGCAAUAAAAUGAUAUUUUCACCUAUCUUAGAAGAAGAAGAUAAAAAAGAGGAGAGGAGAAAAAGAAAGAGAAGAAAACAAAUCUUCUUCUUUUUCUAGCUAGUCUUCUUCUUCUUCUUCUUCUUCUUCUUCUUCUUCUUCUUCUUCUUCUUCUUCUUCUUCUUCUUCUUCUUCUAACUUGCUUCUUUCCCAAUUUGCAUAUUUGCUUUAGAUGAGGAAGCUUGCGUUGAUGGAGUCUACUCUUAUCUUUAUGCUUCCUUCUUGUUUUGAUUUUGUAGGAUGAACAAUGUCAAACUUGCUACCUAUAUAUGUACGUAUGGAUGAAACCAUUGUAUGCUUGUUGGAUAUGUUGUCUAUGUAUAUGUGUUGGAUGAAACCAUUUGCUAUGUAUAUGUGUUGGAUGAUCAUAUCCAUAUGGCAGAGAUAUGAUUUGGUAUGUAUAUGUGUUGGUAUGCUUGUUGAAAGUAUUUUCAUAUGUGUAUAUAUAUAUGUGAAAUUCCAUGAAAUUGAAUGAAUUUAAGAAAAAACAGAAAAAAAA
rnacentral:lncRNA from 1 species